rnacentral:rRNA from 2 species
CUCAGGAUGAACGCUGGCGGCGUGCCUAAUACAUGCAAGUCGAGCGAACAGACGAGGAGCUUGCUCCUUUGACGUUAGCGGCGGACGGGUGAGUAACACGUGGGUAACCUACCUAUAAGACUGGGAUAACUUCGGGAAACCGGAGCUAAUACCGGAUAAUAUUUCGAACCGCAUGGUUCGAUAGUGAAAGAUGGCUCUGCUAUCACUUAUAGAUGGACCUGCGCCGUAUUAGCUAGUUGGUAAGGUAACGGCUUACCAAGGCAACGAUACGUAGCCGACCUGAGAGGGUGAUCGGCCACACUGGAACUGAGACACGGUCCAGACUCCUACGGGAGGCAGCAGUAGGGAAUCUUCCGCAAUGGGCGAAAGCCUGACGGAGCAACGCCGCGUGAGUGAUGAAGGUCUUCGGAUCGUAAAACUCUGUUAUUAGGGAAGAACAAACGUGUAAGUAACUGUGCACGUCUUGACGGUACCUAAUCAGAAAGCCACGGCUAACUACGUGCCAGCAGCCGCGGUAAUACGUAGGUGGCAAGCGUUAUCCGGAAUUAUUGGGCGUAAAGCGCGCGUAGGCGGUUUUUUAAGUCUGAUGUGAAAGCCCACGGCUCAACCGUGGAGGGUCAUUGGAAACUGGAAAACUUGAGUGCAGAAGAGGAAAGUGGAAUUCCAUGUGUAGCGGUGAAAUGCGCAGAGAUAUGGAGGAACACCAGUGGCGAAGGCGACUUUCNNGUCUGUAACNGACGC